rnacentral:rRNA from 1 species
UUGCCCUAGUAACGGCGAGUGAAGCGGCAACAGCUCAAAUUUGAAAGCUGGCUCCGGCCCGCAUUGUAAUUUGCAGAGGAUGCUUUUGGCGAGGUGCCUUCCGAGUUCCCUGGAACGGGACGCCAUAGAGGGUGAGAGCCCCGUAUGGAUGGACACCAAACCUGUGUAAAGCUCCUUCAACGAGUCGAGUAGUUUGGGAAUGCUGCUCUAAAUGGGAGGUAAAUCUCUUCUAAAGCUAAAUACCGGCCAGAGACCGAUAGCGCACAAGUAGAGUGAUCGAAAGAUGAAAAGCACCUUGAAAAGGGGGUUAAACAGUACGUGAAAUUGUUGAAAGGGAAGCAUUUAUGACCAGACUUGCGCCGGGCAGCUCAUCAGGGGUUCUCCCCUGUGCACUCUGCCCGGCUCAGGCCAGCAUCGGUUCUCGUGGGAGGAUAAGAACAGUGGGAACGUGGCCCCCCUCCGGGGGGGUGUUAUAGCCCAUUGUACGAUACUCUCGUGGGGACCGAGGUUCGCGCUCCGCAAGGAUGCUGGCGUAAUGGUCAUCAAUGACCCGUCUUGAAACACGGACCAAGGAGUCGUCCAUUAGAGCGAGCGUUUGGGUGUAAAACCCGCACGCGUAAUGAAAGUGAACGCAGGUGAGAGCUUCGGCGCAUCAUCGACCGAUCCUGAUGUCUUCGGAUGGAUUUGAGUAAGAGUUUUAACGGACGGACCCGAAAGACAGUGAACUAUGCUUGUAUAGGGUGAAGCCAGAGGAAACUCUGGUGGAGGCUCGCAGCGGUUCUGACGUGCAAAUCGAUCGUCAAAUAUGAGCAUGGGGGCGAAAGACUAAUCGAACUGUCUAGUAGCUGGUUACCGCCGAAGUUUCCCUCAGGAUAGCAGUGUUGUUCUUCAGUUUUAUGAGGUAAAGCGAAUGAUUAGGGACUCGGGGGCGCUUAUUAGCCUUCAUCCAUUCUCAAACUUUAAAUAUGUAAGAAGCCCUUGUUACUUAAUUGAACGUGGGCAUUCGAAUGUACCAACACUAGUGGGCCAUUUUUGGUAAGCAGAACUGGCGAUGCGGGAUGAACCGAACGCGGGGUUAAGGCGCCAGAGUGUACGCUCAUCAGACACCACAAAAGGCGUUAGUACAUCUUGACAGCAGGACGGUGGCCAUGGAAGUCGGAAUCCGCUAAGGACUGUGUAACAACUCACCUGCCGAAUGUACUAGCCCUGAAAAUGGAUGGCGCUCAAGCGUACCGCCCAUACCCCGCCCUCAGGGUAGAAACGAUGCCCUGAGGAGUAGGCGGCCGUGGGGGUCAGUGACGAA